GGCAAAUGGUCAGGACAGGACUUAUUCACAUCUUCCCAGAGAGUGAGAGCUUGUUUAAAUUGUUUAUAAAAAUUUAUUCUUCUAGUGUUCUUCUUCCUGCUUUAUUUCUCCGGAAGGCCAUAGGAUAAAGAAGGAAGGCAGCAUGUUAACAAGGUCAGCAGUAAAAUAUGAUGAAAAAUGUGUCUGCUGUCUGAGGAUGCAUACUGAGAAAUGCCUUUCACAUGAGGCACACAUACCUUUGGUUAAGAGAAUCUUGGCCUCCUCCACACUUCACCGGCACCCCCCACAAUCAUCAUGGAGGAGUCAGCAAUGGUGCUUUGGGAUGGUAAGCCACUCCAGGGCUGCACUGUCUGGAGGAGAAACUUGAUAACCAAACAAAGCCUAACAAUGUGGUUCUUCAUUGCCUAGACAAGAGUUAUAAAUAAGGAAGGUAGGAACCCUGGAGAGGACCACUGCUUGGCUUCAAUGUGGAUGAGACACUUGGCAAAUAGUCUGGCACAGACAUUGAACAGCCAACCACACAUGGAGGACAACCAACCAUAAGCACAGACCAACCACACUCAACCUUGGAACAACCAUUCACAAGCACUGUAGAAGAAAUGAAAGAGAGGAUGACUCCUUGCCAGUGUGAGUGCAGAGGCAGUGACAAGAUCAGAUGACCCUGCCCAUGCUCUUCUACCCUAUAGAUUCUCCACCCAAGACCCCUACACUGUGCUUGCCUAGCACAAGUACCCCCACUAGACCACAUGCUUCUCAGGGUUUCCAUCCAGUCCUCAAUCUCCUCUACCAAAUGAAUGCCCUUCUAUGCUCACUGUGUUGCCUUUCCAGGUACAUGAGAUAGCCAAAAGGGUAGAAAUGCCCCUGCAAGCAUGUGCAGGCCAAAGAUCCUCCAAAAUAUCUAUCUCCCAAUCAAGAAAGCACAAGACAUAAACAAAGUCAGCAAUAUUCAUCUGUUACCACCAUCUGAAGAUAGUGAAUCAAAAUAAGAGAAAGACACUGCUGGAGCAUAACCAGGAAAUCCCAAUUAAUUUCACUGCUCCUCUAGUGAUGUUUACAGACCUAGAAUUAUCCUCUGAGUCUCAAAAGAAAGUAGCCUAUGGAAACAUGACCAACCACUUACAGACCAAUGUUACAAAGAUGGUAAACUUGUUAUUGUGUAGUUUGGGUUCCUUGUAUAUUUUGGAUAUUAUCCCCUUAUCUGAUGUGUGAUUUGCAUUUUUUCUCCCAAUCUGGGGGUUGUCUCUUUACUUGAUUGUUUCCUUUGCUGUGCAGAAGCUUUUUAGCUUGAUACAAUCCUAUUUGCUUAUUUUUGUUUAUGGUGG
rnacentral:lncRNA from 1 species